UUUUGACUUUUAUUAAAAUACCUUUGCAACUCAGCUAGAGCGAUACCUUCGUGUUUUAAACGAUUACUCUUUGUAAUUCUAUCUUCAAGAACACCAUGCUUAGAUUUCUUAGUCAAAGAUCUCCAAUCUUCAAUAAAAGGCUCGUUAUCAUCAUUUUCUAUGAAUGUAGCAGGGCGUAAAUUUGAUACAUUUUUACAUCUUUUACGCUUCCAAGAAAAGCUUGUUUUGGUAGACAUGUUGGAAUCUGUCAUACUUCUGCUCAGCGGACACAGUUGCAGUCCACGUGAUACUUCAAAUUAUAUCACAAUAAAGUAAAAUGCUGAAAUAUGUCAGAUCACUCAGAUGUAGAGGAAUAAUGGUUAACAUAUGGGUCAGGGAGGUUGUAGAACUAGAUUUCUAUUAUCUAGCAAUGUAUAAAAGGGCUACGUUUUGAAUGUGCGGAUGUUUUAACUGUUAAGUUGGAUUAUCCAAGUAAUAUUCCACCAGAUGUUUGAACUCGUGAAUAUUCGUAACCACUUCGGGAAAUGAUCGUGCGAACAUCUGUUCGUUCUGGCGGGAACGCGCGGGAAUUGUAAAGAGUAAAUUUUGGGAAGCUCUGUAUUAUGAAACGAAAAUUAAAAGCUGCAAAAAGUGUGAAAGGG
rnacentral:lncRNA from 1 species